GUACAACUCUGAGCGGUGGAUCACUCGGCUCGUGUGUCGAUGAAGAGCGCAGCC
rnacentral:rRNA from 2 species